rnacentral:sRNA from 2 species
CUUUUCUUCAAGAUACCGGAAAAGCUAGGGAGAUGCGGGCUGACAAAAUCGGUGAUGCCGACCUCCGCCUCUUUCAGCGCCUGGAUAUCCUGGCUGUCCAAUGCGGCGGGAGGCCCAAAUACAGAAACAGGGGUAAUAGGAGAAUUGGAAUCUGGGUCCUUUGAAAUCUUAAUGCGCUUGCGUGGGGAUUCAUCCUCGUCCGGAAUUUCUCUCCCCAUUGUUGCUGGUGUGGCUGCCGCUGAGCGCAACCUGUAGCUAUGAUGGGAGAAGAAGAAUUGGGAGCUGCACAAUGAAAGGGAGAUGCACGGGAUUCGUGUGCUAGCCCACGAGAUAGGUAAGGUGAACCUCGAAGAGGCCAAGGCGUGGAGGAGAUUGUUCAUCUACGAGGGGUUGUUGUUGGAUAUGCUCAGAGUCUGCUUCUCAGCGAAAUAUUUCUGACGCCAAGACAUCCCAAGCCCUAACGAUUCUUCCCGCAGGAUUGAUUGGUUCCCCAAGAUCGAUCUGAUCCAGGAGGACGGAUGGUGACACUGGGAUUGAAAUUGAGGCCUCUUGUGAGGACUUUGUUAAUAACUAGUCACUCUGGAUGGGGGAUUCUAGGACUUUACUGGCCAUCUUGUCGAAAUCUUGAACAUGCGUGAAUUUGAUCCUGGACAAGAUUUGGCACAUUUCAACGAGAUGUUAUAUACUAUUUAUAAAGGAGAGAUAUAUAGAAAUCGGUUCCAACAACAGAGAAUUGUUGAACGGAUCGGUUACAUUCAAUCAUACGGGA